UACGUAGGGCGCGAGCGUUGUCCGGAAUUAUUGGGCGUAAAGAGCUCGUAGGCGGCUUGUCACGUCGGGUGUGAAAGACCGGGGCUUAACUCCGGUUCUGCAUUCGAUACGGGCUAGCUAGAGUGUGGUAGGGGAGAUCGGAAUUCCUGGUGUAGCGGUGAAAUGCGCAGAUAUCAGGAGGAACACCGGUGGCGAAGGCGGAUCUCUGGGCCAUUACUGACGCUGAGGAGCGAAAGCGUGGGUAGCGAACAGG
rnacentral:rRNA from 1 species